rnacentral:rRNA from 1 species
GAUGAACGCUGGCGGCGUGCCUAAUACAUGCAAGUCGAGCGAACGGACGAGAAGCUUGCUUUUCUGAUGUUAGCGGCGGACGGGUGAGUAACACGUGGAUAACCUACCUAUAAGACUGGGAUAACUUCGGGAAACCGGAGCUAAUACCGGAUAAUAUUUUGAACCGCAUGGUUCAAAAGUGAAAGACGGUCUUGCUGUCACUUAUAGAUGGAUCCGCGCUGCAUUAGCUAGUUGGUAAGGUAACGGCUUACCAAGGCAACGAUGCAUAGCCGACCUGGGAGGGUGAUCGGGCAACAUGGAAACGGGGAAAGGUUCAAAAUCCUAAGGGAGGCAGCCGUAGGGAAUCUUCCGCAAUGGGCGAAAGCCUGACGGAGCAACGCCGCGUGAGUGAUGAAGGUCUUCGGAUCGUAAAACUCUGUUAUUAGGGAAGAACAUAUGUGUAAGUAACUGUGCACGUCUUGACGGUACCUAAUCAGAAAGCCACGGCUAACUACGUG